rnacentral:rRNA from 1 species
UAAAACCAGCACCUCAAGUGGUCAGGAUGAUUAUUGGGCCUAAAGCAUCCGUAGCCGGCUCUGUAAGUUUUCGGUUAAAUCUGUACGCUCAACGUACAGGCCGCCGGGAAUACUGCAAAGCUAGGGAGUGGGAGAAGUAGACGGUACUCGGUAGGAAGUGGUAAAAUGCUUUGAUCUAUCGAUGACCACCUGUGGCGAAGGCGGUCUACUAGAACACGUCCGACGGUGAGGGAUGAAAGCUGGGGGAGCAAACCGGAUUAGAUACCCGGGUAGUCCCAGCUGUAAACUAUGCAAACUCAGUGAUGCAUUGGCUUGUGGCCAAUGCAGUGCUGCAGGGAAGCCGUUAAGUUUGCCGCCUGGGAAGUACGUACGCAAGUAUG